rnacentral:rRNA from 1 species
AUUGAACGCUGGCGGCAUGCCUUACACAUGCAAGUCGAACGGCAGCACGGAGCUUGCUCUGGUGGCGAGUGGCGAACGGGUGAGUAAUAUAUCGGAACGUACCCUAGAGUGGGGGAUAACGUAGCGAAAGUUACGCUAAUACCGCAUACGAUCUAAGGAUGAAAGUGGGGGAUCGCAAGACCUCAUGCUCGUGGAGCGGCCGAUAUCUGAUUAGCUAGUUGGUAGGGUAAAAGCCUACCAAGGCAUCGAUCAGUAGCUGGUCUGAGAGGACGACCAGCCACACUGGAACUGAGACACGGUCCAGACUCCUACGGGAGGCAGCAGUGGGGAAUUUUGGACAAUGGGCGAAAGCCUGAUCCAGCAAUGCCGCGUGAGUGAAGAAGGCCUUCGGGUUGUAAAGCUCUUUUGUCAGGGAAGAAACGGUGGGAGCUAAUAUCUCUUGCUAGUGACGGUACCUGAAGAAUAAGCACCGGCUAACUACGUGCCAGCAGCCGCGGUAAUACGUAGGGUGCAAGCGUUAAUCGGAAUUACUGGGCGUAAAGCGUGCGCAGGCGGUUUUGUAAGUCUGAUGUGAAAUCCCCGGGCUCAACCUGGGAAUUGCAUUGGAGACUGCAAGGCUAGAAUCUGGCAGAGGGGGGUAGAAUUCCACGUGUAGCAGUGAAAUGCGUAGAUAUGUGGAGGAACACCGAUGGCGAAGGCAGCCCCCUGGGUCAAGAUUGACGCUCAUGCACGAAAGCGUGGGGAGCAAACAGGAUUAGAUACCCUGGUAGUCCACGCCCUAAACGAUGUCUACUAGUUGUCGGGUCUUAAUUGACUUGGUAACGCAGCUAACGCGUGAAGUAGACCGCCUGGGGAGUACGGUCGCAAGAUUAAAACUCAAAGGAAUUGACGGGGACCCGCACAAGCGGUGGAUGAUGUGGAUUAAUUCGAUGCAACGCGAAAAACCUUACCUACCCUUGACAUGGCUGGAAUCCUUGAGAGAUCAGGGAGUGCUCGAAAGAGAACCAGUACACAGGUGCUGCAUGGCUGUCGUCAGCUCGUGUCGUGAGAUGUUGGGUUAAGUCCCGCAACGAGCGCAACCCUUGUCAUUAGUUGCUACGAAAGGGCACUCUAAUGAGACUGCCGGUGACAAACCGGAGGAAGGUGGGGAUGACGUCAAGUCCUCAUGGCCCUUAUGGGUAGGGCUUCACACGUCAUACAAUGGUACAUACAGAGCGCCGCCAACCCGCGAGGGGGAGCUAAUCGCAGAAAGUGUAUCGUAGUCCGGAUUGUAGUCUGCAACUCGACUGCAUGAAGUUGGAAUCGCUAGUAAUCGCGGAUCAGCAUGUCGCGGUGAAUACGUUCCCGGGUCU